UACGUAGGCAGCGAGCGUUGUUCGGAGUUACUGGGCGUAAAGCGUGCGCAGGCGGUUGUGCAAGACCGAUGUGAAAUCCCCGGGCUCAACCUGGGAAUGGCAUUGGUGACUGCACGGCUAGAGUGUGUCAGAGGGGGGUAGAAUUCCACGUGUAGCAGUGAAAUGCGUAGAGAUGUGGAGGAAUACCGAUGGCGAAGGCAGCCCCCUGGGAUAACACUGACGCUCAUGCACGAAAGCGUGGGGAGCAAACAGG
rnacentral:rRNA from 1 species